UGGGGAAUAUUGCACAAUGGGCGCAAGCCUGAUGCAGCCAUGCCGCGUGUGUGAAGAAGGCCUUCGGUUGUAAAGCACUUUCAGCGAGGAGGAAGGUGGUGAGCUUAAUACGCUCAUCAAUUGACGUUACUCGCAGAAGAAGCACCGGCUAACUCCGUGCCAGCAGCCGCGGUAAUACGGAGGGUGCAAGCGUUAAUCGGAAUUACUGGGCGUAAAGCGCACGCAGGCGGUUUGUUAAGUCAGAUGUGAAAUCCCCGGGCUCAACCUGGGAACUGCAUUUGAAACUGGCAAGCUAGAGUCUCGUAGAGGGGGGUAGAAUUCCAGGUGUAGCGGUGAAAUGCGUAGAGAUCUGGAGGAAUACCGGUGGCGAAGGCGGCCCCCUGGACGAAGACUGACGCUCAGGUGCGAAAGCGUGGGGCAGCAAACAGGAUUAGAUACCCUGGUAGUCCACGCUGUAAACGAUGUCGAUUUUGGAGGUUGUGCCCCUUGAGGUGUGGCUUCCGGAGCUAACGCGUUAAAUCGACCG
rnacentral:rRNA from 1 species